AUCUAUUUAGUGUAUAGAGUGCACACUAGAACUUUAUUCUAGUAGAGUAAGUUUAAAUCUUACAAUGGUUG
rnacentral:tRNA from 1 species